rnacentral:pre_miRNA from 1 species
UAUGUACUCCCUCCGUCCCAAAAUUCUUGUCUUAGUUUUGUCUAGAUACGGAUGUAUCUAAUACUAAAACAUGACUUGAUACAUCCGUAUUUAGACAAAUCUAAGACAAGGAUUUUGGGACAGAGGGAGUAUUUU